UACAGAGGUCUCAAGCGUUGUUCGGAUUCAUUGGGCGUAAAGGGUGCGUAGGCGGCGCGGUAAGUCGGGUGUGAAAUCUCGGAGCUUAACUCCGAAACUGCAUUCGAUACUGCCGUGCUUGAGGACUGGAGAGGAGACUGGAAUUUACGGUGUAGCGGUGAAAUGCGUAGAUAUCGUAAGGAAGACCGGUGGCGAAGGCGGUUCUCUGGGCAUUACCUGACGCUGAGGAGCGAAAGUGUGGGGAGCGAACAGG
rnacentral:rRNA from 1 species